GUCUCCGCGGUUGUUCUGGGUGCCUGUCGACCGUCCCGGUCUGGCAGGUUAAACGGGAAGUCCGGUGCAGCCAGGUUGACCUGGCAAGUCCGGCACUGCCCCCGCAACGGUAGGUGGUAACGGCAGAUUCUCUCAUGCCACUGCGCGGCUCACGUCCUUGUUCGGGCGGGCCGUGUGGGAAGGCAGAUCUGCCGGAGGGCGUCAUCGCCCUCCAGGCCACAAGUCCGGAGACCGGCCCUGAACAGACCCGAACA
rnacentral:ncRNA from 2 species